rnacentral:rRNA from 1 species
CCUACGGGAGGCAGCAGUGGGGAAUAUUGGGCAAUGGGCGCAAGCCUGACCCAGCGACGCCGCGUGAGGGAAGACGGUCUUCGGAUUGUAAACCUCUUUCAGCAGGGAAGACAAAAGGACGGUACCUGCAGAAGAAGCCACGGCUAACUACGUGCCAGCAGCCGCGGUAAUACGUAGGUGGCAAGCGUUGUCCGGAAUUACUGGGUGUAAAGGGAGCGCAGGCGGGAAGCCAAGUCAGCUGUGAAAACUACGGGCUUAACUUGUAGACUGCAGUUGAAACUGGUUUUCUUGAGUGAAGUAGAGGUUGGCGGAAUUCCGAGUGUAGCGGUGAAAUGCGUAGAUAUUCGGAGGAACACCGGUGGCGAAGGCGGCCAACUGGGCUUUAACUGACGCUGAGGCUCGAAAGUGUGGGGAGCAAACAGGAUUAGAUACCCCAGUAGUC